rnacentral:rRNA from 1 species
UACGGAGGGUGCAAGCGUUAUCCGGAUUCACUGGGUUUAAAGGGUGCGUAGGCGGGUAAGUAAGUCCGUGGUGAAAUCUCUGAGCUUAACUCAGAAACUGCCGUGGAUACUAUUUGCCUUGAAUAUUGUGGAGGUGAGCGGAAUAUGUCAUGUAGCGGUGAAAUGCUUAGAUAUGACAUAGAACACCAAUUGCGAAGGCAGCUCACUACACAAUCAUUGACGCUGAGGCACGAAAGCGUGGGGACUCAAACAGG